UAACAUACUGGUAAAUGGGAUGGA
rnacentral:siRNA from 1 species